CGGAUGGUACCGUUUGGGCCUUUGUUGGUCCAGCUGUGUCAGUCAUUGUUGUAAACAUGGUAAUUUUAUGGAUUGUAAUCCGUAUUAUUGUACAUCUUGAGAGAUCUGAUGAAUAUAGGCAGAUCAGGUCAAGUAUCAAAGGCGCCAUUUUCCUUCUUCCUCUCUUAGGUUUGACUUGGAUAUUUGGACUCAUGGCUGUAAAUGAAGAUACAAUCAUUUUUCAGUAUCUUUUUGCUAUCUUUAAUUCGC